GUGACAACUUUCUUUCACGUACUCUGCAUAAAGGAAACUUCAAGUUGUAACAGGAAAAGUCCCCUGGUACAAUCUUUUGCCAGGACAUUAUAGGGAGAACAGACGUCGAGAUUUUCAGUGGGGCUGGAGUUAAGGAAUCUCAAGACUUCAAGAGAGGGGUUUUGGAAAAAGGGAUACUGGCGAAAAGGGAGAUCGAUUACAUUCAAGACUAAAUUAUUUGGGACAAAGACGUUUUUAUAUAUAUAUGAAAGCUGUUUUCAGCAAGGCAGGGGAGACAAUUGGUAUAAACUAUAUGACGAUGGACGUGUCUGAUCAGGUAAUGGAGAUUUUAUCUUAGUAUUCAAUUGAUUCAGAUACUUCUCUGCAUGAUCGCUAUAUCAACCAAAUUCAAUAGAUUCUUAGAAAAUUAACACCAAUCAAUGUAAUCAACAAUCACAAAGUAAAUUCUUGAACUAAUCCAUCCAAAAUCACAAAGCAAAUCCAUCGAAUCAAAUGAACCACCUUCUAACCAAAACUUCAAAAUUAGUGAAGAUCAAAACCAUACCUUGCAACCUUUCUGAUCAAUAACUGGAAUUCCAAAGCCAAAGAUAAACCAAACCCCUAGAACCCAUAUCAAUUACACACCAAAGGACACAAAAACUAACAAAAACAAUACCAGAAGAAAACUUCCAGACCUACAAUCCUCACUCUCGCCACAAAUUCAGUGUUGUGGAAACCAAAUCCCCUUGUUUCUUUCUAUUCGAGUACCAGAGUCUCCAAACCAAACCCAGUCCCUUCUAGAGCGUCAAAAUACAAACAGGAAAACGACGACCGACCACUCUCGAGUCUUAACGCAGAUUCAUAGUGGCAACCCGUAAUUUCUUGAAAAUAAAGGGCAAAAAGGUCAUUACGCACGCUAAUGAACAGUAGUUGUGAAUGAACAGUGGAUUGACGUUUAGUAUAUUUAUUUUAAAUGUCUGUGUUCAAGGUGUGCGAAGCAGCGGAGAAUAUAGAAUUUUUCAGUCUAAAUCUUCUCCAACACAGCACAAAGGAUAGUUUCUGAGAAAGAUUGAAAAUGGUCGAUAAAGCCAACAGAGCUGUAAGCCCCUUUUAAUCUUUUCUCGCCAAAAGGUAAUCCCUAUCUUAAAGUUUUGAUCUUUUUAAGUUUUUGGCUUCUGGGUUUUGUGGGGUUUUGAGGUACGUUUUGUCGUUUUGAAGUGAAAUGGCGGGUAGGAAAGUUUGGAACUUUGUGGUAUUAAUUACCUUUUGCUUUAUGGGUUUUUUAGGUUUUGAAUGCAAACGUAUGGGUGGUCUAGGCUCUGUAUACAGUCUCAGCGCUGCCUAACCUUCUGCAUAACCAUCUGCUGUAUUGCUUUUGACCUUGGCGAUAGAAGAGAAAGCACUUGGUUUUUGAACGUGGCUUCUCAGGUGGCAAAAUGGUUUUUAUUCGGGGCACCAAUAAUUCAAUCGCUCAGAUCAGAUGUGUUCUUCUUAAAGAAGAUAUUGAAGUUAAGCAGCGAGGACAUCAUUGGCUCUGGAGGGUAGGGACAGUUUAUAUACUUACAUAGUAGAUGACACCAUCCCCUUUGCUGUGAAAAGACUGAACAGAGGAAGUGCAGAUAGAGAUCGAGGAUUUGAGAGAGAACUUGAAGCAAUGGGGGAUACAAAGCACUGGAACAUCAUGACUCUUCAUGGAUAUUACACCUUCUUGUAUACGAACUGGUAGCUAAUAGAAGCUUGGAUUGAGUGCUUCAGGGUGUGCAUAUAUAUUAAUUCAAUUUCUACGUUGCUAAGAUUUAUACAUUUGAGUUUCAGUAUUAAUUUAGUUUGCCAUACUUGAAAAGUGCAAAUGAAAUACUGCUUUGAAAGUAAAUAGCAUUUGAAACAUUAGAAUUCCUAAGGAACACGAAUAAAAGUUGAAUACUUGAAAGUUUUCAGUUCCAUGGUCAUUAAUCAAUAUGUUCAUUAAUUUGUAUGUUUACUGUACAUGCAAUGCAGGAAGAUCACUGUCGAACAAGUGUUUGGAUUGGCUGUCCAGAUACAAAAUAACGCUAGGUGCUGCAAGAGGAAUAUCAUAAUUUCAUCUUUGAGAAAUUACUGAAAGGCUUGAUUGGAUUUGAAAUUUUCAGUUUCAAAUGAAGCUUCUAUAUGCAUGUUAUCUUCUUAGUGUGCGUAUAUUUAUAUUUGUGUUACAGUUAAAGCAUCACAGAAAACUAUAUGAAGCUUAUGUCGCGAUGAAAGUACAAAAUCUACCUGAGGAAGAUGAAAAGAAAAGGCGAGUGGGGAGUUCAUCUUACCUCACAGGCAACUGCAGACAGAGUAAGUUCCAGCUCUACGCCUUUCAAUUUUUUAUUUACUGCUACACAUGUUUGCCUCCUCAUUAUGAUAAAUAGAAGCACCAACCUUAUUAUCAAGGCUAAUAGGUUUCAGAAUGCAUACCACAUCAACAAGAGAGCUAAUAGAACUGCCAAGAAACCAGCACCGAGACUAGCUAGGAGAUGAGUGAAAAUAUUGUCAGCGAAACCUGGAAAUUUCAAAACUGUUUGCAUAAUUAGUAUGAAGAAUCAGGACUGAUUGGGAUUAUCAUAUUCUAACAACUUUAUUAAGCAGGUCCAGUUCAUUAUGAACCAGUUUGGAGUUUGGCUGCUGGGGAAGAUCAAAUUUUUAAAUUCUAAGAAUUUGAAUUUCUGCUAUUAGUUUAUUUUUGGGAUUUGGGGAUAUCAACAUGCAACCAAAGAUAAAUUGAUGAGUUAUUGUUGUGUUAUGUUUUAGUUAGAUAAUAUAUAGAAUGAUGAGUGUACUGAAUUUGUAAAAAUUUGUGCUUUGGAAUUUGUGGAGGUAAAAGGUUUGGUGUUGCAGAAAUGGCUACUAGAGC